CCACAGCCAUUUCUGUGUCUUGCAGUUUAAGGCUGUUCCCGUGGAGGAAAGAUCAAGGCCUGUUAGGAGGUUCUUGCAUCCCUUGGUCCAUGACAUAACACACAAAUAGCUACUAGGCAUGGUUAAGGAAAAAGACCAAAGUCAACAAGACAGUUUGUCUUUAGAUGGGCAAAGGAGAUGAAGAGGCAGCUCAUAGAAAAGGAGAUGCAAAUGAAGACACCAUCUUCCCACUUCUGGCACUUUGUGGAAAUUCUUGAAACUAAGUUCCACCACUGAUUCAUCCAGCACCCACCCCAGACUUGCCUUCCAGCUGGUAUUCACAUCUCCAUGGUCCACCCAGGCUGCCUCUGCACAGGCUGCCCAGGGCUGAUCCCAGCGGCUCCUACCUGCGUGGCCCCUCUUGGCCUCUGCAGCAUCUACCAACUUUCCUCCCCCGAGUCAUGCCCACAGACACCUGUUCCUGCUUCCUCCAGGCGCUGCUCUCUUCCAACCUUCUCUUUGCCUUCUUCACGAUCUCCUCUUCCUUUGUCAGUUUCAGCCCCUGCCAGUGUUCCCUGUAUCUGUCCUCAAUUUUCUAUGCUUCCCCCUCACUCUACUCACUCUCAAAGACAGAGAAACCCUGCUUAUCUCUGCAGAUGAUGGCCAAGUCUCCAUCCCAGCCCUGACCCAGUUCCCGAGGGCCAGACCCUGGCUCCUGGCUACAGUAUCCCGUGCAACAUGCCUAAAACCAAUGAAUCCAUCCUCCUCCCUCCAAACCAGCUCCUCUGGUGGCUUUCU
rnacentral:lncRNA from 1 species